rnacentral:rRNA from 1 species
UACGUAGGUGGCUAGCGUUGUCCGGAUUUACUGGGCGUAAAGAGCGCGCAGGCGGUCGUUCAAGUCGAGUGUGAAAGCCCCCGGCUCAACUGGGGAGGGUCAUUUGAUACUGAUCGACUCGAAGGCAGGAGAGGGAAGUGGAAUUCCCGGUGUAGUGGUGAAAUGCGUAGAUAUCGGGAGGAACACCAGUGGCGAAGGCGACUUCCUGGCCUGUUCUUGAC